AAAUUGAAGAGUUUGAUCAUGGCUCAGAUUGAACGCUGGCGGCAGGCCUAACACAUGCAAGUCGAACGGUAACAGGAAGCAGCUUGCUGCUUCGCUGACGAGUGGCGGACGGGUGAGUAAUGUCUGGGAAACUGCCUGAUGGAGGGGGAUAACUACUGGAAACGGUGGCUAAUACCGCAUAACGUCGCAAGACCAAAGAGGGGGAUCUUCGGGCCUCUUGCCAUCAGAUGUGCCCAGAUGGGAUUAGCUAGUUGGUGAGGUAACGGCUCACCAAGGCGACGAUCCCUAGCUGGUCUGAGAGGAUGACCAGCCACACUGGAACUGAGACACGGUCCAGACUCCUACGGGAGGCAGCAGUGGGGAAUAUUGCACAAUGGGCGCAAGCCUGAUGCAGCCAUGCCGCGUGUAUGAAGAAGGCCUUCGGGUUGUAAAGUACUUUCAGCGGGGAGGAAGGUGUUGUGGUUAAUAACC
rnacentral:rRNA from 1 species